rnacentral:rRNA from 1 species
UACAGAGGUCUCAAGCGUUGUUCGGAUUCAUUGGGCGUAAAGGGUGCGUAGGCGGCGCCGUAAGUCAGGUGUGAAAUUUCGGAGCUUAACUCCGAAACUGCAUUUGAUACUGCGGUGCUUGAGGACUGGAGAGGAGACUGGAAUUUACGGUGUAGCAGUGAAAUGCGUAGAGAUCGUAAGGAAGACCAGUGGCGAAGGCGGGUCUCUGGA